GACGAACGCUGGCGGCGUGCUUAACACAUGCAAGUCGAACGGAAAGGCCCUGCUUUUGUGGGGUGCUCGAGUGGCGAACGGGUGAGUAACACGUGAGUAACCUGCCCUUGACUUUGGGAUAACUUCAGGAAACUGGGGCUAAUACCGGAUAGGAGCUCCUGCUGCAUGGUGGGGGUUGGAAAGUUUCGGCGGUUGGGGAUGGACUCGCGGCUUAUCAGCUUGUUGGUGGGGUAGUGGCUUACCAAGGCUUUGACGGGUAGCCGGCCUGAGAGGGUGACCGGCCACAUGGGGACUGAGAGACGGCCCAGACGCCUACGGGAGGCAGCAGUGGGGAAUAUUGCACAAUGGGCGGAAGCCUGAUGCAGCAACGCUGCGUGCGGGAUGACGGCCUUCGGGUUGUAAACCGCUUUCGCCUGUGACGAAGCGUGAGUGACGGUAAUGGGUAAAGAAGCACCGGCUAACUACGUG
rnacentral:rRNA from 1 species